UCUGAUGGAGGCAUUUUUCUCACUUGAGGUUCCCUCUUCCCAGAUGACCCUGGUGUCAAUCAAGUUGAUGAAAACCUAGCCAGCACAGGGGAGCAAAGAGGUGGGGGACAGGGAGGAGGAGGGAAGAGAGCAAAGAGGAAGUGAGGAGGAAGGCUCCAGUGUGUGGCCCUAGACCCUAUCUCAAACCAAAGGUGUCUUCCUUGGAGAGCUGUUCACCUGAGAUCAGCUGAGCACCGAGUUCUCCGUUGCCAUGUCCCUUAAGAUGGGGAGUCAGCCUAGGAAUGAACAGAGAAGUGGAACUCAGGAUACAAAGACAGUCACAACCGGAAGACAAGGCAAAACCUAGGCUCCUUUGAAUGCCCUCGGCUCUGCAGUGUCCUGGUCUUCUGGUUUCCAGACUCACAU